rnacentral:rRNA from 1 species
UAACGGGGAAUCAGGGUUCGAUUCCGGAGAGGGAGCCUGAGAAACGGCUACCACAUCCAAGGAAGGCAGCAGGCGCGCAAAUUACCCACUCCCGGAACGGGGAGGUAGUGACGAAAAAUAACGAUACGGGACUCAUCCGAGGCCCCGUAAUCGGAAUGAGAACACUUUAAAACCUUUAAACGAGGAUCAAUUGGAGGGCAAGUCUGGUGCCAGCAGCCGCGGUAAUUCCAGCUCCAAUAGCGUAUAUUAAAGUUGUUGCGGUUAAAAAGCUCGUAGUCGGAUUUCAGUCUGGGCGGUGCCGGACCACCCUGGCGGUCCGGCGUGUCGCGGCCGGCCGCGUCGCGGGACCACGUGUCCCGUCGGCGCGGUCGCCGUCGCGCUCGUCGGCCGUCUCGGGGUGUUAGUUACCGGCACGUCGGCCGGACGUAUUGUCGGCAGGCGGACACGUGUCCCGUGUCUCCGGCGCGCCGUGCGGCCCAGCGUCGUGCGGCCGCGUCGGGGCACGCGGACGGCGGCCGCCUACUCCAAUCUUGCUGCGCGGUGCUCUUCACCGAGUGCCGUCGGCGGGCCGACACGUUUACUUUGAACAAAUUAGAGUGCUCAAAGCAGGCUCAAAUCUGGCGGGCCGGCCUCACGGCCGUCCCGUCAAAAGGCCCUGAAUACUGGUCGCAUGGAAUAAUGGAACAAGACCUCGGUCCCGCGCAUCUCCGCCCUUCGCGGGCGCGCGAAACCGCCCUCCGGGGCGUUUCCGUGCGCGGGCCGCCGGGCCGCGGGCGCUCGUCGCCCGCGCGUCCCGCCGGGCCGGUUUUCGGGACCGGAGGUAAUGAUCAACAGAGACGGGCGGGGGCAUUCGUACCGAGACGUUAGAGGUGAAAUUCUUGGAUCGUCUCGAGACGAACUGACGCGAAAGCAUUUGCCAAGUACGUUCUCGUAUGAUCAAGAACGAAAGUUAGAGGUUCGAAGGCGAUCAGAUACCGCCCUAGUUCUAACUGUAAACGAUGCCAGCUAGCGAUCCGCCGGCGUUUCAUUAACGACCCGGCGGGCAGCUUCCGGGAAACCGAAGCUUUUCGGUUCCGGGGGAAGUAUGAUUGCAAAGUUGAAACUUAAAGGAAUUGACGGAAGGGCACCACCAGGAGUGGAGCCUGCGGCUUAAUUUGACUCAACACGGGAAACCUCACCAGGCCCGGACACCGGAAAGAUUGACAGAUUGAGAGCUCUUUCUUGAUUCGGUGGGUGGUGGUGCAUGGCCGUUCUUAGUUGGUGGAGCGAUCUGUCUGGUUAAUUCCGAUAACGAACGAGACUCUGUCCUGCUAACUAGGCGGGUAAACCCGGGUCGGCGUGGGCGCGGCGCGGGCGGUUUCGGCCGUCCGCGUCCGCGUUCCCGUCGGCCCGGCCCGGUAUCCCCGAACGCGUUCGCCCGUCGUCCACGGCGGUCGUCGGGCGCGGUCGCGCCAUCCGCGUCCCGGCGCGCGGCGGGCGUGCCGUCGGUCGGGGGGCAACCUCCGGCCGGCGCGCGUCCGUCGCGCGUCGGGCUCCGCGGUGAAGCGCGCCGCGUUCGCGGCCGUCGCCGACGGGAUCACGAUACGUUACUAGGGCUACCGCCGGCUCCCAGGAGCUUAAACUCUUCUUAGAGGGACAGGCGGCGGACGAAAAUAGCCGCACGAGACUGAGCGAUAACAGGUCUG